GCCAAUGAGAACGCGAGACUCCCGGACAGGGGGCGGGGCCAGGAGGGCGGGGCGGGGCUUACAGCUUUGUUCUGGAGCCUGGCGGUAAGCGGGGCGCAUGCGUAAGGAGGGGCUUUAGGGAGACCGCGAGAGUCCCACGUGACGCGGGCACCCACCCGGAGGGUGCUGCCGUCUCCCGAUCACUUUGCUGGUGCACUCGUCCGCGGUUCAGCUCCGAGACCCGCAAGGUCAAUUGGCGGGUCCACUGGUCCUGAGGCAAGCACUCAUUCGUCUAAUGAGGGAUUCAGGACUUGCAAGGCCACGUGGGGACGAGGGAAGGGGCUGGGAGAGAGGCAGCGUGUCCGCGGCCACUAACACGGACUCCCCCUGCCCCGAGCUCGGAUCCCUGAAACAUUCAGAGGCCCAGGGGAGAGGGAAGGGGAGCGGGUUGUGGGGAUCCCCGCGUUCGUUUCUGCCAUGGGAACCCUUUCGUGUUGCUUCUGUUCCCACUAACAGGAAACCUACAGGCCUCAGAGACCAAAAAUAACCCAGGAAAGGAAGGGCGGCCGCGAGCUGGGGGUUGAGGGGGAACCAAUACUCGCACCACCCACCUCUUCCUCAUUGGGGCUGGAACCUUUCUAGCCACAACCACUUCCUAGCUAGGGUCGUUGAUCUCCUGAUGGGAGCGAUUACAGGGAAAGGCUACGACUGGCCACUGGAGUGGCCACCCCUCCCAACCAACCAGUACUCCGAGGCCCCCAGUCCUGGAGUCCACCAGCCUCCCUGAGUCCACGGCAGGAGCCACCUGAGCUUCCCCCUCCUUCUAAGUCAAGCUCCCUGGGACGCUGACCUUGAACCGUGGACUCCAGAAAAGGCAAACGAGAAUGGGGGUGAGACAGUGAGCCUAUCAUCUCAUAUGUGGGAAAUGGAAAUAAGCAUCUGUAAAUCUCUCUCUCUCUCUCUGAGAUGCAGCAAUCGGUACGGCCGUGCAACAGUGUUUAAUAGCUCAGUCUUUGGAACUAGAUCACAGUUCCAGCCUCCGCUUCAUCACUUAUUAACCUGGUCAGGAUACUGAACCUCUCUCAGUGGGUUUCCUCAUUAUCUGUGGAUUACAGAUACUAGUACCUACCUUUUAGCAAUGUUGGGGGGGUUCAAUUAGAAAACAUGUGAAUGAAAAUGCUUCCUUUAGCAGGCGAUAAAGAACAUCUCAUGUUGCAGGAGAUAAUAUUAGCUGGUCUGAUUAUCAGCAGGCCAUAAGCUGGAGUGGAAGGUUUUAGUUUAGUUUUUUGUUUUGUUUUGAAGUCUAAUCCAGGUCAUGAGUUUUAAAAGAUUAAGAAACACAACCAUGAGCUAAAUGUUGGCGGGAAUUGCAGACCAUGGUAACUGGCUUUUUUCCACAAAUGAGGAAUUUAAGGCCCAAAGGGAGCCCAAAGGGAAUUAGUGACCCUGGCCAUGGGGGCAGAGCAGAGUGUGCACCCAGGACACAAGGAAGACAAGGAAAGCAGUAGAAGAUGGCCCAAGUGCCUGGACCCCUGCACCUACAUGGGAGACCCAGAAGAAGCUCCUGGUUCCUGACUUUGGUCUGGACCAGCCUCAGCCAUUUCGGCCAUCUGGGGAGUGAACCAGUGGAUGGAAGAUUUUCUCUCUCAAUCCCCCACUCCCCUGUAACUCUUUCAAAUAAAUAAAAAUAAAUCUUAUAUUAAAAAGAGAUCCCCAGUA